GGCAAGGGAAAGGUGGCACCUUUGCGGGUGUGUUAUAGUCUCCUGUCGCAUGUGAGGGGUGAGAUCGAGGAACUCAGUGCGCGCCUCUGGCGUCGGGGCCUUUUGGCCCACGUAACGCGCUUAGGACGCUGGCGUAAUGGCUUUAAACGACCCGUCUUGAAACACGGACCAAGGAGUCCAACAUGCCCGCGAGUGUUCGGGUGGAAAACCCGUGCGCGUAAUUAAAGUGAAAGUUGGGACCUCUGUCGUGGAGGGCACCGACGCCCGGACCAGACCUUCUGUGACGGAUCUGCGGUAGAGCGUGUAUGUUGGGACCCGAAAGAUGGUGAACUAUGCCUGAAUAGGGUGAAGCCAGAGGAAACUCUGGUGGAGGCUCGUAGCGAUUCUGACGUGCAAAUCGAUCGUCAAAUUUGGGUA
rnacentral:rRNA from 1 species